CAGCUCGUUGCUAGGCUAACAACAGGCCCAGAUGUGGCUUGUUUGCUAAUUAGUCCCAAAAGUGUCCAGUAAGUCCAGUUUAAUGUAGAGGGAAAUCAAUUUAUACUUCCAAUAGAGGACCUGGACAGGAUGAAAUAAGUGUGAGGCCAGGAGUGAAACCAGGAUUACCCUUUAGCUGUAACUUAACAACAAGCUACAGAAAGAUGAGAUUGCUGCUUUAUUCAACGCAGUCUCACCCCACACCUUUAACUUCACAACUAAAUGUGCCAAAUGUAACCUUAUCUUGCUGUCGUCUGUUUACUGCCAGGGAGGUGGCAUACAAUGGUUUUAUCAGACUUUGUAUUAGCUAAUGAUUAAAGUAGGUAACAACAGUGGUACACAUGGAAGAAAUCUUCAAUUCUUUCCAAUUUCCUUCAUUUACUGCCCUAUCAUACCCGUCAGAGCACAAGAGAUAAGUCCUGGGAACUUGGUCUCAUUCAGUCAUGUUUUCUGAACUUAAGGCAAUGUUAUCAUCAACCCUUCACUCUUUUCCUCGUGGAAUGAGCCGUUUUGAUCUACAGAGGGAACGGGUCCUCUUCAACGGAGGCCGACAUGUUGGACCGCCAUGUUUCUACAGUAACCCAGAAUGGACGAACCAAACACUGGGUCCAGGUAGGGUCUUUUGUGUUUUAUGGUCACUGUAGUUUCUCCUACAUGCUUGAAAGGCUGAGCUGUAUUCAAAUUGUUGCAAUCUGUAACUUCACUGCUAGAUUCCUACACUGAAUCCUGCACACUGGCCCUUUAAUUAAUUAAUUAAAUUU
rnacentral:lncRNA from 15 species